rnacentral:rRNA from 1 species
GACGAACGCUGGCGGCGUGCUUAACACAUGCAAGUCGAACGGAAAGGCCCUGCUUUUGUGGGGUGCUCGAGUGGCGAACGGGUGAGUCACACGUGAGUAACCUGCCCUUGACUUUGGGAUAACUUCAGGAAACUGGGGCUAAUACCGGAUAGGAGCUCCUGCUGCAUGGUGGGGGUUGGAAAGUUUCGGCGGUUGGGGAUGGACUCGCGGCUUAUCAGCCUGUUGGUGGGGUAGUGUCUUACCAAGGCUUUGACGGGUAGCCGGCCUGAGAGGGUGACCGGCCACAUUGGGACUGAGGUAAGGCGCAGAAUACUACGGGAGGCAGCAGUGGGGAAUAUUGCACAAUGGGCGGAAGACUGAUGCAGCAACGCCGCGUGCGGGAUGACGGCCUUCGGGUUGUAAACCGCUUUCGCCUGUGACGAAGAGUGAGUGACGGUAAUGGGUAAAGAAGCACCGGCUAACUACGUG